AUUUAUUCAUUAUCAGUGUAUAAAUGUAUAAAAGUAGUGAAAGGGUCAUAAUCUGUUUGAAAAUGACACCAAAAUAGUGAGCAAAUAAAAUAGUCGUGAACAAAUAUCCAAACAUCCAACCAACUGCACAGACAGCUACAACUAAGUCACUUGAGAAAAUCCAAUAAUCCAACCAACAACGUCAUAGGCAAUAGUAAAAAAAUAAAGAGCAUGUCAUGAGUUUCAUCAAAAAGGACGUAAAAAGAAAAAAAUAUUCUUCUAAUCUUUAAUAUUUUCUACCUAAUCUUCAUAGAACCACAAUGUAAAAUCAAAAACCAAUUAAAGUAACAAAGUAAUCACAAAAUCGGUAGCACUGUAAAAAAUAGAGAAGGACGAGUAGCGCCAUUCCACGACAUUUGCCGGAGCGACGCUAGAGAAAAAAUUAAUCCAACCAGAUCUGGCCCUUUUUCAAUGGAGCAGCGUAGUCCAAGACUCGCCGGUCACUCUCUCCAGUUAGAGGCGACUGUAAAAGGGGAAAAAGGAAGAGGGCCGCGUUGGUGGCCGGAUCUGGUGCUGGAAACUCGCCAGUCAUCACCUCCGGCGACCCAGUGGUGAAAUGAAGUGGAAGGAAGGGGGAGCAGCGGCAGAGUUGUUGAUAGUGUUAAUGGCUGCCGGCCAUCCCGUGGUCAAGCCCGGCGGCGGCAGAUCGGAUAAAGAGAGAGAUGCGUAUGUAUGGUGAAUUGUGUGUGUUGUGUGUGUAGUGUGCGUUGGUUUUUAUAGAGAGAAAAAAUGGAGGAAAAA
rnacentral:lncRNA from 1 species